rnacentral:lncRNA from 1 species
UUGACUUGCAGAUCUCUUUAACAAAAAAGCAAAUGAUAAAAAAUAGAAAUCUUUCGUAAAAAGUUUUACAAUCAGCUGUAAUAACUAACGUAAAAAAAAAUAAUGUUGACUUGUGUUUGACGCUUGAAUGACCAACAACUGUCACUCACCAUCAACGGAACAUUUGGUAUUGUGUUUUCAACCAACUUAGAGCUUCCUUGAUCCCUGUCG